CCUGCAAAACGAAUCUAAGUUCCCCCUUAACCCUCUUUUUCCUCCCCAGACAAACCCAACCCAAAUGUGAUAGUUAAGGGCUAUUUAAAGGGGGUACAGCCCCUUUAAAAAAGGACACAACCUCCACCAGCGGAUAACCCCUGUACGCCCAACCCCGUGGGCCUUAAAGCAGCCACCCCCAAAGAUUGCGUCAAAGCUCCAUCAACCAAAAACCCCCAAAACCAAUGCGACUCCCUACACCCACAGCAGGCCAACCUAUAACAAUAGAUGAAUCAAUGCUAGAACGAGUAACCAGGACACUACGUCCCCCUAAGCGCCAGCCUGUAUACCAUUAACAGUAAAACCUCAAUAAUAACCACCCCCACCAUUGAACCCACCCUGUCAACCCAACUCAGGGGCGCACACUGGAGUGAUCAAAAUCUACAAAAGGAACUCGGCAAACCUAAGACCCGACUGUUUACCAAAAACAUAGCCUUCAGCCAAACAAGUAUUGAAGGUGAUGCCUGCCCAGUGACACCAUGUUUAACGGCCGCGGUA
rnacentral:rRNA from 1 species